AGAACUAGAGGGACAAGGACAGGCAGAGAAGUCAGCGGCUUGGCUGAGAGCCAGGCUGCAGGUCUGAUCUCAGAGCCCAGAGAGGGCGACAGCAGCAAAGGCCUGGGCCCUGAGAUAGCGUCUCCCUGUAACACUGGCUGGCCUCAGAAUGACAGCAAUCCUCCCAGCUCAGCCUUCCCAAGUGCUGCCAUUGCACAAAAUGCCAUGAGCCACAGCUCGUGCCUUUAUUUGCAGCAAUCUUUAUCCCCUGAUAUGCUGAGCAAUUAAUUUACCAUAAAGCAUCUUCACGAUAAUGCAGCCAAGCUUUCUUGUCAAUUAAAAGAGUUUGUGUAGAUAUAUUUACUUUUGUGUGUGUGCCUAUGGGCAUACAUGUUUAUGUAUAUGUGUUAUGGGUGUAUCUGUAUCAUGUGUGUAAAUGCCUGUGGAAGCCAGAAAACUUACAGGUCCUCUAGCGUGGAGAUACAGGCAGUCACAAGCUCCCUGACAUAGUACCGGGAACUAAACUCAGGCCCUCUGGAAGUCAGGUUUCUUAACCACUGAGCCAUCUCCUGCGCCCUCCUCAUUUUUACUUAUUGUUUGAUGCUAGUAAUGGAGCCUAGGGCCUAAUGGAUGCCAAACAAGGGCACUUACCACCGAGCCACAUCCUUCCUCAGGCUUUAGUUUUUAGAUUUUAGUUGCAUAUUAUUUAGCUGUUACGUGUGUAUGAACACAUGCAUCCAUGUGGGGGUCAGAGGACAGCUUGCAGGAGUUGGUUCUCUCCUUCCAACAUGUGGGACCCAGGAAUUGAACUCAGGUCACUAGGCUUGGUGCAAGUAGCUUUAUUACUGAGCCAUCUUGCCAUCUCUUUACCUUAUUUUUAUUUUUGAGACAGGGUUUUACUAAAGUGUCAAGGCUGAUGGUGUAUUUGUGACUCUCCAAGUCGCUGGGAUGAUGGCUGUGUGCGCCCAUGCUGGCUGAGUCUCCUGAUUGGCACCCUUAUUGUUUUUGGUAAUCUCCAGGCCACUAUCCGUCAAAUAACGCACAGGCAUUUUUAAAAAGAGAGGAAGGCCUGGAAGUGGUAUAGUGAUGACCUCAUAGAGGGCUGGGGGUGUGGCUCAGAGGUGGGGCUCUUGCCUAGUAUCUCCAGUGGCUGAGGACAUGGCUCAGAGGUAGCGUCCCUGCUUAGGACCCCCAUGUAGGGCUAGGACCCUUGAAGCUCUGGAAGUCCCCCUCUGAUCUGUUCUCAUGUUCCACCCGGCACACCUUCAAGGAGGGUGUCUCCUCCUCUCCUUGAGGCUCCGGCUGCGCUCAAAAAGCCAGGCAUCUGACUCCCAAGGAGUGCAGACUGGUGGGACUGUGGAGUGUGCAACCAUGUGAGAUGGAGGCUGUACUCUUCCAUCAUCUUGUCUCCCUGCUCCUGAAAGGUGAUGAUGAUCAAGGCCACGAAGAUAUUGACAAAGAAGAAGGGAAACACUACAAAGUACACCACGUAGAAGAUGGACAUCUCCAUGCGGUACCCGGGGCUGGGGCCCUGGUUCUCAAAAGUAGCAUCCACUGAGUGCUUGAGGACCCUGUGAAGUGUGGGAAGGAGACAGGAGCGAUAGAGAGGAUGGGGAGGGCAGAGGCACAGGAGCCGGGGAACAAGAGAUGGAGAAGAAAUAAACUCAGUCAGUGACUCUGCAAGCAUGGGGUUGACCGUGUGCCUGAGAAUGCUCAGCUUUUCACAUCUUUUCCCAGUAGCCUUUGGGGAGGUCAUUUCUGGCUCCACUUUGCACAGAAGGAAACUGACAUUCAGCCGUUUGGAGAGACUCAGAAAGAAAUGUUCACAUUGGUAUCUAAAGCUAGGUUUGUGGUGACAGAUGAGGUAGGAAUUUUUGGAAGCAGGCACCAGUCCAUGUGGGGUAUUUAAGCAGAAAUGGCAUAGAUGGGAAGGAGGUUCAGGAGCAAUGUGCACAAAGUGUGGUCAGAACAGCUCUGUAUGGGCUCAGAAUGCACACUGCUCAAACAUUCUCUUGGUGGGGCUCAGUGCCUUGAACAUGUGAGGCCCUGGGUUCCCAGCGCUACAGAAUAAAAGUUUUGUGUCUGGUGAAUGCAGUGUUCAUGGCUGCCUUUUGCUCUGUAAAUAGCCUCUAAUCAAAGAAACCGUUCGGUGUCUAAGCAGUGCCUUGGUAUAGCAGAUGUGAUAAAUGUGUUUGUUCAUCAUGGAGAGCAUGUACCUUGUUUGGACAAAUCAUUUGUGUGGCUCUGAGUUUUUUUUUUAUCUUCAAUUAUGUGAAUAUUUUCAAUUAUGGUGCAUCUGAGAGCAGGUUACCACAGAGGCCAGUAAAGGAGGUUGAAUCCACUGAAGCUGGAGCUACAGGUGGCUGUGAGUGACCAGACUUGGGUACUGGGAACUGUUCAGGUCUUCUCUUAGAACAGCAAGUAAGUGAGCGAGUCCCGAAAUUUACAUUCAUUUAUUUCUGUGUGCAUGCCUGCUGUGUGUGUGUGUGUGUGUGUGUGUAGGUCAGAGGACAACUUUUGAGAGUUGGUUCUUUCCUUCUGUGUGUGCCUCUUUGCCUGCUGAGCUCGCUAUCUCACUGACUUUGUCUUAAUUUUGAAAAUAGAGGUCUCUCACUGAACCUGAGCUGGACAGCCCUGGAGCUCCUGGAAUCUCCCUGUUUCUGCCCAGUAGUGUUGGGGUUAGAGAAGUAUGCCUCAUGUCUGGUUGCUAUAUGGGUGCUAGAAUUCAAACUCAGGUAUGUUAGGAACUGACCUAUCCCUCCAGCCCCAAGACUAUUUUAUUCAUUCAUUCAUUCAUUCAUUCAUUCAUUCAUUCAUUUAUUUAUUUAAUUUUAAAAAUAUUUAUUUAUUUAUUAUAUGUAAGUACACUGUAGCUGUCUUCAGACACUCCAGAAGAGGGUGUCAGAUCUUGUUAGGAUGGUUGUGAGCCACCAUGUGGUUGCUGGGAUUUGAACUCAGGACCUGUGGAAGAGCAGUCAGUGCUCUUAACCGCUAAGCCAUCUCUCCAGCCCCUAUUUAUUUAAUUUUUAAAAAGGAUUUAUUUAUUUUAUGUAUGUGAGUACAUGGUUGCUGUCUUCAGACACACCAGAAGAAGACAUCAAGUCCCAUUACAGAUGGUUGUGAGCCACCAUGUGGCUGGUGGGAAUUGAACUCAGGACCUCCGGAAGAACAGUCAAUGCUCUUAACUGCUGAGCCAUCUCUCUAGCCCUUUAAUCUUAUUUUAUUUUAAAUUAUGUGUAUGUGCGAGUAUAUGUACACACGUGCAGUUCCCUCAGAGUUUAGAGGCCCGGAUCCCUAGGAGUCCGUGCAGGUGUUUGCAAGCCUGACCUGAGGGUGGGAAAGCCAACCGGUGUCUUCUGAGUAUGCAUAGUCCUGUCAGAGACACCCCUCAGCCCCCUGUUGUUUUGAGUCUCACUGUGCAGCCCUGGAUGGCCUGGAGCUUGUUGUGGCCUCAAGCUCACAGAGACACCCCCCUGCCUCUGCCUCUGGGGAUUCUGGGGUUAAAGGCGUGGUCACCACGUCCAGAAAGGCUGCCGCUUGCUUGCUUUCAAGUCUGUGUUCACAUUUGUGCUGCUGGGGGGGCGGCGGGGGGGACCUGAGCUUCCCAACAGCGAGGCUGGAGUUCAGCUUAAGAGUGCCACCCAUGACCCACGGGGCCACCCCUAAACUGUGAGAGCACAUCAUGGUAACAACCUUGGGCACAGGCCAAGCUUUGACACCCCUGUUCUCCCCCAUCCCCGCUCCCCUGUUCCCUGGGUCCCUGACCCUUGCUACUCACUGUGGCCAGCCCUCUCCUGUGGACACUGUGAAAAGUGUGAGCAGAGCCCAGAGCACGUUGUCGUAGUGGAACUCGUACUUCUUCCACUCGCGGUCCCGGGCCUUCACUUCGUUCUUCUCGUACAGGAGGUACUUGCCUCUGUCACAGAGAGCUGGUUAGUCAGCAGGGCGCCACCACCUCCCUAAGGCCACGUGUGCUGCCUGGAGGUGGGUGCACGGCAGUGACCCUGGGGGAGCCGAGACCCUGGCUUGAGUGUAGGUAUGGGGGACACAGGCAGGACGGAGAGGCAAACACGGGGACACCCUAUUUCAGGGUCCUUACACCUUUCAGAACAGGAAGUAGUGAGUUCAAAUACCACCCAAGACUCUAAGAUCCUUUUGGUAUGGCAGGGUCUCCUGAAGUAGCCCAGGCUGAUGGAGAAGCUCUGGUCUCCUGAAGUAGCCCAGGCUGAUGGAGAAGCUCUGGCCUCCUGAAGUAGCCCAGGCUGAUGGAGAAACUCUUCCUGCCUCAGUGUCCCAAGCAGUGCGUGACAGGCCUGUGCCACUGUGUCCAGGGAGCAUCUGAACAGGGCAGCUUGGAUACAACCCAAGGAGGGACUAUGGAUCUGUGGUCAGUACCCCCUUGACGAAGCCACUGGGAGACUAGAACGUUAACCAGGUCUGAAGGGGCAAACCCAGGUUCUCAAACUUUCUCAUUCGCUCUUCUUUUAUGGCACAGGGCUUCUCUGGGAGGCAGGCUGGGCUGGGGCUCCCCAUCUUAACAUCUUAGCCUCCUGGGCCUCACAUCACCCAGUCUUAGACGUCUCCCUUGUUACUGUUUUCCAUGCCGGGGAGGGGAGGGGAUUGGGCCUGUGCCUUGCUGCUGUGCACACCCAGCACACCCAAUCGCUGGCACCGCUUUUUAUUUUAUUUUACUUUUUUGUGUGUGUGUGUGACAAGUGCUCACUCCUUAACCCAGCUUGGUCUCAAAACUCAGGGUGAUCCUCCUGCCUCAGCCUUCUGAGUGCUGAGGUUCCUAGGUAUACCCCACCUGACUCUAAAAAUCCAAGCUGACCCGGAGUUACCGCUCUGCCUCAGUGUGUGACUGUGGGCCCUGGACCCCGCCUCCCCUGCCGCGUGUCCCACCCACCGACAGUCUCUCUCGAACUCCUUGGACUCGUCCGUGCAGUGGAAGAACUUGCCCUUGAAGAGCUGCACGGCUACCACAGCGAAGAUGAACAUGAACAGCAUGUACACAAUGAGGAUGUUGAAGACGUUCUUGAGCGAGUUCACCACGCAGUCAAACACGGCCUGCGGCAGGAGGAGGGGUGUGAGGCGGGGAGGGCGUGGUGGUGGGGUUGGGUGAGCUGAAAACAUUGGUAUGGAACCCAGUGCUUCUGGUACACUAGGCAAGAGUUCUGCCAACUGAGAUACAUCCCAGCCCUCUGCUUGUUUUAAAUAGCUCCGGCUCUGCCUUUCUCCGCCCUGACCUAGCAAAAGGAAUCCUGACCUGGGGCAGGGUCUGCCAGCCAAUCCCCUUUGCUGCCACCUUCUGGACAAACAUAGCAACUACACCCACACAUAAAGUCUAUGAGGCAGUCAGCAUCUCUUUCAACAUAGUAUUGAGACGGGUCCCCAAAGGACCCAGGCUGACCAGACCUGGGGUUGUCUUUCCCCAGCCCCUGAGUGCUGGGUCCCAGGUGCACACCACUAUGUUUCUCAGUGUUGUGUAUGGAGCACUGUACAACCUUUUUUGUCUGUGGGUGGCCAGCUCCAGGACCCUCUCUCCAGACCCCAGUCUCACCUUCAGCUUUGGCAGCCGCUUGAUGGUCUUUAGAGGUCGUAGCACCCGGAGGACUCGGAGAGACUUAAUGGUGUUAAUGUCCUUUCCUUUGCUAUUGCCACUGUUGAGGGAUGUUAGGGUCGGGGAAGGGAAGAGACAAAGCAGAAGUCAGCCUGGGAAGGAGGGGCCCACAACCCCACAUGGUCCCCCUUGGCUGGACCUGAUGGGCUGAUGGAUGGUCUAGUUUUGCCCUGGAAACCUGAUCACUUUGAGGGAUCCUGUUCUCAUAGUUUGUUGAAGACCCUGCCUCUGCACUGAGGAUUUUUGUUUUUAAUUAGUUCUUUUGAGACAAUGUCUUACAGUCUUUCUAGGAAGCAAUGGCUGGCUCUUCCUUCAUCUUCCUCUUCAGUUCUGGGAUUGGAGGUGUGCAGCACUGUGUGCAACUGUCUGCACCAAUGCUUCCACUGCUCUUUGUAGCAAAUCAAAGGCCUGGGAGGUUGGUGAACUGUGAGAUGAGACCCACCCUCCUUCUGAAGGCUUCAGAAUGCUUCCCCAGUCCCAUGUUCCCUAGGCUGAAGGACAGAAGUAACUAGGGGCCAGUCCUUUCAAAUACCAACAUGAUCUCAGGCACGGCUGCUGCUCCAGUCUCCAAGGUCCCUACCUACCUUGGUGGUAAAAAGUAGGACCUGUGGACUUAACCACGAAGACUCCAAAGACACAGAGCUCUUAGCUACCUAGGCCAUCAAGAGCUUGAAGAUAAUGGCUCCCACCCCCACCCAGGGCCCAAACACAAAUCCCAGAGUCAUGUUUGUCUGCUGGCUUCAUGCUCAAGUCCCAGAGGGUGCUGUCUCAAGUACCCCCCGUUCACUGGGACCUUUUUACUCAGACUUCGCACAUCUACUUUAUCUUUUCGUACAUACUGGUCACCACUCCUUCCUUCUACUGAGGAUCCUUCCUGAAUGUCACCUUCAACCUAGCCUAUCCCAC